rnacentral:rRNA from 1 species
UACGGGGGGAGCAAGCGUUGUUCGGAUUUACUGGGCGUAAAGGGCGCGUAGGCGGUCGUGACAAGUCACUUGUGAAAUCUCCGGGCUUAACUCGGAACGGUCAAGUGAUACUGUCGGACUAGAGUACAGAAGGGGCAACUGGAAUUCUCGGUGUAGCGGUGAAACGCGUAGAUAUCGAGAGGAACACCUGCGGCGAAGGCGGGUUGCUGGGCUGAUACUGACGCUGAGGCGCGAAAGCCAGGGGAGCGAACGGG